rnacentral:tRNA from 1 species
GGAUUGUGGCUCAGUGGUAGAGUACUUGCCUCUUACACAUGAGACCCUAGGUUUGAUCCUCAGCACCA